ACGGUGGCGGCAACCUGAAACAAUACGACAGUCAUUCAUCUACACAGGUUUGCUCGAACGACAUUCGUGACCUCCUGGUUCACUGAUUUUUCAUCAAUAAUCUUGAAUGGACGACGAUAUGAAACGAGCGGAUUUACGAAAAAUUCGCGGCGAAAUUGGAAAAACGCGAUCCAAAUGCAGCCGCGUAAUUAACGAUUUCAAGUCGGGCUAAUAAAUUACCUUGGAUCAUCUGUGUCAGCUGCAUGCAUAUUAAAUAGCAGAAUAUUAAAACUACAUAAAAUUAUAAAUAAUUCAUAGAUUUUUCGCGUAGUUACCUUAAUUAGCAAUUAAGGUGUCACAUGGAUGUAAACACUACAGAGAUAAUUAAUUUCGAUGUUGUCACAUAUAUUGUGUUUUUUAUCCGUUGGCUAGAAAAAACAAGAUACUGAAUUUGUUGCGUAAGUGUUUUAACAUAGAAAAUUACUUAGUCCCUUUUAUCUAAACUGUUUUAUGAUGUUCGAAAGAAAUAAAACCAUGUCAAUACCUGACUUAUCAUUAUAAUAUGAAAUAUACAUCAUUUCUGUGUUCUGUAAGAUCUAGAGGUACAUUUAUAUUGAUGUAUGUGUCAAUAUUAUAUCUAUCAUAUUAUUGAUAACUUUCUUAUAUACUUAUAUAAACAAAAGAAUUGGUAGGAUCUAUAUAGUUAGUUAACAUACUAACAACAUUAGUCAUUUAGCUUGUAACUGUAAUGUGCAAUGGAAUCUAAUGUUACUGGUUGGUAAGUCAUUGUACAUCGAACUAUUGGUGAAUCUUAUUCCAAUUAUACAAUCGCUUACAAUUUUGCGUACGUUGGCAAGCAAAAGAAUGGGUAACAUACGUUCGAAUACAGUUAUUCGAACAUGCUCUCUGGUUAUUUCAGUGACAAAUUAUAGAUAGUGAAGAAAAUCAGCGAUCUCCUGUUAUAAGAUAUCCAGUUAUCCAAAUCGUUUCCUCAGGUAUAAGUAGAAUUAAGUAGAAAUAACGACAAGUAGGAUCCUAAUGUCUACUACCCAUGUACAUAAUUCUACCACAAAAGUUUGAAACAUAUUGGAAUUCCAAAAGAAAUAAUGACUUCCUCAUGUAGGAGUAAAAGAUAACUUCUGAGCAAACAAAAACGAAAAGAUCCGAUCGUUCAACGAAAUUUUAAAUCCAUGGCCGAAAUAAGUUACUAAUUCAGAAAUCGAUACGGUUAAAGAGUUAAUAAGCAUUGAGCCAUUACUUGGCCGAUAUGGCGUGCGUCGAAACUGUUAUUGUAACAGCACUUUAAUCGGACACGGGUGAAGCAAACGACGCUGAAACACAAAGUUUUCGAUGGAAUUGGAACGUCCGACGAUGAUUUCCGAAUCGUUAAACGGAAACUAUUCGCAUUAAAGAAGAAACCGACCGGUUGGAAGGGAAAAAUAAGAGGACCCCAGUUACUGCGUGGUCGUGACAGUCGAGGUAUGUUGUAGAUACCGUGUCGUUAAAUUAAAGGCAAAUUAACAGAGCAGUGGUGAAUAAUACACGCGUGGAGGAAUUUACGUAAAGUGUUACAUGCGCGUGUGCGCGGUACGCUCCGAUUCGAUUGAUGCGCGGAAGGUUAACGGGAAGAGACAAACAGCCGAAUCUGUUACGUGAAACGGGCCCUCAUGUGCUGCUUCCCUCGAGAUUACUUCCUAGAUAACUAUGUACACGUACAUUUUUUCGUUUUAUUCUUUUUUACGAAAGAACCGCACCCGUUUCUUUUAUGGCGUCGUAAAUUCCUUAUUUCUCACUGGUGCUUUUGGCAGGAUGACAUGGAUUUGUCUCCGCAUAUGGGAUACCAUACAAGUUAAUAACUUCCUGAAUAGCCCGUUGAUGAAGAAAUCUUGAAUUUAUUAAUGGUCGAACGUUGAGACUUUGAAACGGUAUAAAUUAACGAAAUCUGGUUUGGAAAGAUUUAUAUCUGAUUAUCGGUUAGUUUAUUCAUUAUAUUCUCUUGUAUCAAUAUACAUAAUAUUGGUAUACUGGUCUACUUAUAUUUUAUACUCCUGCGAUUAAUUUAUUGCACGUCAUAAAUUAUAGUCUUUUAUAUUAUAUAUAGUGUCUUUUACACUGUUGUAACCCUGAACUCUGAAUAUACAAAAUACGUGUUAAUAUAAAUAGACUGUCCUACUAAAAAUAUAUAUUCAAAGCGAUACGUGAUUAAAUUAAAGAGGUAUUUCUAAUGUAACUCAAUAAAUUUUAUUUUUUUGUA
rnacentral:lncRNA from 11 species